UCAGCCAGCAGCACAGGCCCUGAUGUAAUGUGGAUGGUAUCAGCCAGCACCACAGGCUCUGGUGAAAUGUAGAUGACGUCAGCCAGCAGCGCAGGCCCUGGUGUAAUGUGGAUGGAAUCAGCCAGCAGCGCAGGCCCUGGUAUAAUGUGGAUGGCCUCGGCCAGCACCACAGGGCCUGGUGUGUUGAAGAUGGCCUCAGCCAGAAGCACUGGCCCAGGUGUAAUGUGGAUGGCUUCAGCCAGCACCGCAGGCCCUGGUGAAAUGUAGAUGGCAUCAGCCAGCACCACAGGCUCUGGUGAAAUGUAGAUGACGUCAGCCAGCAGCGCAGGCCCUGGUAUAAUGUGGAUGGCCUCGGCCAGCACCACAGGGCCUGGUGUGGUGAAGACGGCCUCAGCCAGAAGCACUGGCCCUGGUGUAAUGUGGAUGGCUUCAGCCAGCACCGCAGGCCCUGGUGAAAUAUAGAUGGCAUCAGCCAGCACCACAGGCCCUGGUGUGGUGAAGAUGGCCUCACAGGAAGCACAGGCUCUGGUGUAAUGUGGAUGGCAUCAGCCAGCAGCACAGGCCCUGGUGUGGUGAAGAUGGCCUCACAGGAAGCACAGGCCCUGGUGUGAUAUGGAUGGUAUCAGCCAGCACCACAGGCUCUGGUGAAAUGUAGAUGACGUCAGCCAGCAGCGCAGGCCCUGGUGUGGUGAAGAUGGCCUCACAGGAAGCACUGGCUCUGGUGUAAUAUGGAUGGUAUCAGCCAGCAGCACAGGCUCUGGUGAAAUGUAGAUGACGUCAGCCAGCAGCGCAGGCCCUGGUGUAAUGUGGAUGGCAUCAGCCAGCAGCACAGGCCCUGGUGUGGUGAAGAUGGCCUCACAGGAAGCACAGGCCCUGGUGUGAUAUGGAUGGUAUCUGCCAGCACCACAGGCUCUGGUGAAAUGUAGAUGACGUCAGCCAGCAGCGCAGGCCCUGGUGUAAUGUGGAUGCCAUCAGCCAGCACCACAG
ensembl:lncRNA